UACGUAGGUGGCAAGCGUUAUCCGGAUUUACUGGGUGUAAAGGGCGCGUAGGCGGGAAUGCGAGUCAGAUGUGAAAACUACGGGCUUAACCCAUAGCCUGCAUUUGAAACUGUAUUUCUUGAGUGAUGGAGAGUCAAGUGGAAUUCCUAGUGUAGCGGUGAAAUGCGUAGUUAUUAGGAGGAACACCAGUGGCGAAGGCGACUUGCUGGACAUUAACUGACGCUGAAGCGCGAAAGCGUGGGGAGCAAAC
rnacentral:rRNA from 1 species